AUACGAGGGGUGCAAGCGUUAAUCGGAAUUACUGGGCGUAAAGCGUUCGUAGGCGGUUUGUUAAGCAAGAUGUGAAAGCCCUGGGCUCAACCUGGGAACUGCAUUUUGAACUGGCAAGCUAGAAUACUGUAGAGGGUGGUGGAAUUUCCAGUGUAGCGGUGAAAUGCGUGGAGAUUGGAAGGAACAUCAGUGGCGAAGGCGGCCACCUGGACAGAUAUUGACGCUGAGGAACGAAAGCGUGGGGAGCGAACAGGAUUAGAUACCCGAGUAGUCC
rnacentral:rRNA from 1 species